rnacentral:rRNA from 1 species
GAUGAACGCUGACAGAAUGCUUAACACAUGCAAGUCUACUUGAACUUCGGUUUGGGUGGCGGACGGGUGAGUAACGCGUAAAGAACUUACCUCACAGUUAGGGACAACAUUUGGAAACGAAUGCUAAUACCUGAUAUUAUGAUUUUAGGGCAUCCUAAGAUUAUGAAAGCUAUAUGCGCUGUGAGAGAGCUUUGCGUCCCAUUAGCUAGUUGGAGAGGUAACGGCUCACCAAGGCGAUGAUGGGUAGCCGGCCUGAGAGGGUGAACGGCCACAAGGGGACUGAGACACGGCCCUUACUCCUACGGGAGGAAGCAGUGGGGAAUAUUGGACAAUGGACCAAAAGUCUGAUACAGCAAUUCUGUGUGCACGAUGACGUUUUUCGGAAUGUAAAGUGCUUUCAGUUGGGAAGAAAAAAAUGACGGUACCAACAGAAGAAGUGACGGCUAAAUACGUG